GAUGAACGCUGGCGGCGUGCCUAACACAUGCAAGUCGAGCGAUCUUCUUCGGAAGAGAGCGGCGGACGGGUGAGUAACGCGUGGGUAACCUGCCCUGUACACACGGAUAACAUACCGAAAGGUAUGCUAAUACGAGAUAAUAUGCUUUUGUCGCAUGGUAGAAGUAUCAAAGCUCCGGCGGUACAGGAUGGACCCGCGUCUGAUUAGCUAGUUGGUAAGGUAACGGCUUACCAAGGCGACGAUCAGUAGCCGACCUGAGAGGGUGAUCGGCCACAUUGGAACUGAGACACGGUCCAAACUCCUACGGGAGGCAGCAGUGGGGAAUAUUGCACAAUGGGCGAAAGCCUGAUGCAGCAACGCCGCGUGAGCGAUGAAGGCCUUCGGUCGUAAAGACUCUGUCCUCAAGAAGAUAAUGACGGUACUUGAGGAGGAAGCCCCGGCUAACUACGUGCCAGCAGCCG
rnacentral:rRNA from 1 species